rnacentral:rRNA from 1 species
CGGGUGAGUAAUGCCUAGGAAUCUGCCUGGUAGUGGGGGAUAACGUCCGGAAACGGGCGCUAAUACCGCAUACGUCCUGAGGGAGAAAGUGGGGGAUCUUCGGACCUCACGCUAUCAGAUGAGCCUAGGUCGGAUUAGCUAGUUGGUGGGGUAAAGGCCUACCAAGGCGACGAUCCGUAACUGGUCUGAGAGGAUGAUCAGUCACACUGGAACUGAGACACGGUCCAGACUCCUACGGGAGGCAGCAGUGGGGAAUAUUGGACAAUGGGCGAAAGCCUGAUCCAGCCAUGCCGCGUGUGUGAAGAAGGUCUUCGGAUUGUAAAGCACUUUAAGUUGGGAGGAAGGGCAGUAAGUUAAUACCUUGCUGUUUUGACGUUACCAACAGAAUAAGCACCGGCUAACUUCGUGCCAGCAGCCGCGGUAAUACGAAGGGUGCAAGCGUUAAUCGGAAUUACUGGGCGUAAAGCGCGCGUAGGUGGUUCAGCAAGUUGGAUGUGAAAUCCCCGGGCUCAACCUGGGAACUGCAUCCAAAACUACUGAGCUAGAGUACGGUAGAGGGUGGUGGAAUUUCCUGUGUAGCGGUGAAAUGCGUAGAUAUAGGAAGGAACACCAGUGGCGAAGGCGACCACCUGGACUGAUACUGACACUGAGGUGCGAAAGCGUGGGGGAGCAAACAGGAUUAGAUACCCUGGGUAGUCCACGCCGUAAACGAUGUCGACUAGCC